GAUGGACGCUGGCGGCGUGCCUAAUACAUGCAAGUCGAGCGAACGAACGAGAAGCUUGCUUCUCUGAUGUUAGCGGCGGACGGGUGAGUAACACGUGGAUAACCUACCUAUAAGACUGGGAUAACUUCGGGAAACCGUAGCUAAUACCGGAUAAUAUUUUGAACCGCAUGGUUCAAAAGUGAAAGACGGUCUUGCUGUCACUUAUAGAUGGAUCCGCGCUGCAUUAGCUAGUUGGUAAGGUAACGGCUUACCAAGGCAACGAUGCAUAGCCGACCUGAGAGGGUGAUCGGCCACACUGGAACUGAGACACGGUCCAGACUCCUACGGGAGGCAGCAGUAGGGAAUCUUCCGCAAUGGGCGAAAGCCUGACGGAGCAACGCCGCGUGAGUGAUGAAGGUCUUCGGAUCGUAAAACUCUGUUAUUAGGGAAGAACAUAUGUGUAAGUAACUGUGCACAUCUUGACGGUACCUAAUCAGAGAGCCACGGCUAACUACGUG
rnacentral:rRNA from 1 species